AGUGGAUGGGGAGCAACCUAGUUGUGCGUGUGUAAAGGUAGUGCCAAGAAAAGCGAUGAUCAUGUUGAAAAUCAAUUCCCGGUACCCGAAACCGACACAGGUGGGCAAGUAGAGAAUACUAAGGGGCGCGAGGUAACUCUCUCCAAGGAACUCGGCAAAAUGACCCCGUAACUUAGGGAGAAGGGGUGCCACCGAGAGGUGGUCGCAGUGAAGAGGCCCAGGCGACUGUUUAGCAAAAACAUAGGUCUCUGCAAACUCGAAAGAGGAGGUAUAGGGGCUGACGCCUGCCCAGUGCCGGAAGGUUAAAGAAGUUGGUCAGUUUUAGGAUGAAGCUAGCGACUGAAGCCCCGGUGAACGGCGGCCGUAACUAUAACGGUCCUAAGGUAGCGAAAUUCCUUGUCGGGUAAGUUCCGACCCGCACGAAAGGCGUAACGAUCUGGGCGCUGUCUCGGAGAGAGGCUCGGCGAAAUAGGAUUGUCUGUGAAGAUACGGACUACCUGCAUUUGGACAGAAAGACCCUAUGAAGCUUUACUAUAGCUUGGAAUUGUGUUCGGGCUUCCUGUGCGCAGGAUAGGUGGGAGGCGUAGAAGGUAUUCUUGUGGGGAUACUGGAGCCAACGGUGAGAUACCACUCUCAGGAGGCUAGAAUUCUAACUUAAUUAAGGACAGUUUCAGGUGGGUAGUUUGACUGGGGCGGUCGCCUCCAAAAAGGUAACGGAGGCGUACAAAGGUUCCCUCAGACUGGUUGGAAAUCAGUCGAAGAGUGCAAAGGCAGAAGGGAGCUUGACUGCGAGAAGUACAGUUCGAGCAGGGUGGAAACACGGUCUUAGUGAUCCGACGGUGCUGUGUGGAAGGGCCGUCGCUCAACGGAUAAAAGUUACUCUAGGAUAACAGGCUGAUCUCCCCCAAGAGUUCACAUCGACGGGGAGGUUUGGCACCUCGAUGUCGGCUCAUCGCAACCUGAGGCGGAAUACGUCCCAAGGGUUGGGCUGUUCGCCCAUUAAAGCGGUACGUGAGCUGGGUUCAGAACGUCGUGAGACAGUUCGGUCCAUAUCCGAUGUAGGCGUGAGAAUAUUGAGAGGAGCCUUCCUUAGUACGAGAGGACCGGGAAGGACGCACCGCUGGUGUACCUGUUAUGAUGCCAAUUGUAAACGCAGGGUAGCCAAGUGCGGAGAGGAUAACCGCUGAAAGCAUCUAAGUGGGAAGCCCACCUCAAGAUGAGUAUUCUGGUGUAAGGUCACGGGAAGACGACCCGUAAAUAGGCACGAGGUGGAAGUGCAGAGAUGUAUGAAGCCGAAGUGUACUAAUAGACCGUCGGCUUGACC
rnacentral:rRNA from 1 species